rnacentral:rRNA from 1 species
UACGAAGGGGGCGAGCGUUGUUCGGAUUUACUGGGCGUAAAGGGCGCGCAGGCGGCUCAUUUUGUCAGGCGUGAAAGCCCCGGGCUUAACCUGGGAGGUGCGUUUGAUACGGAUGGGCUAGAGUUCGGGAGAGGAGAGUGGAAUUCCCAGUGUAGAGGUGAAAUUCGUAGAUAUUGGGAAGAACACCGGUGGCGAAGGCGGCUACCUGGACAAUUGCUGACGCUCAGGCACGAAAGCGUGGGGAGCAAAAGGG